rnacentral:rRNA from 1 species
UACGUAGGGGCCGAGCGUUGUCCGGAGUUAUUGGGCGUAAAGCGCGCGCAGGCGGCUUCGCGCGUCCGACGUGAAAGCCCCCGGCUCAACCGGGGAGGGUCGUUGGGUACGGCGGAGCUUGAGGGCGGUAGAGGUUGGUGGAAUUCCCGGUGUAGUGGUGAAAUGCGUAGAUAUCUGGAGGAACACCGGUGGCGAAGGCGGCAUCCUGGACCGAUACUGACACUGAGGAGCGAAAGCCAGGGGAGCAAACGGG